GGGCCCGCACAAGCGGUGGAGUAUGUGGUUUAAUUCGAUGCAACGCGAAGAACCUUACCAGGGUUUGACAUCCUGCGAAUUUCUGGGAAACCGGAAAGUGCCUUCGGGAGCGCAGUGACAGGUGGUGCAUGGCUGUCGUCAGCUCGUGUCGUGAGAUGUUGGGUUAAGUCCCGCAACGAGCGCAACCCACGUCUUUAGUUGCCAGCAUUUAGUUGGGCACUCUAGAGAGACUGCCGGUGAUAAACCGGAGGAAGGUGUGGAUGACGUCAAGUCAUCAUGCCCCUUACAUCCUGGGCUACACACGUACUACAAUGCUACGGACAAAGGGCAGCAAACUCGCGAGAGCUAGCAAAUCCCAUAAACCGUGGCUCAGUUCAGAUCGUAGGCUGCAACUCGCCUACGUGAAGGAGGAAUCGCUAGUAAUCGGAUAU
rnacentral:rRNA from 1 species